UGGGGAAUAUUGCACAAUGGGCGAAAGCCUGAUGCAGCGACGCCGCGUGAGGGAUGACGGCCUUCGGGUUGUAAACCUCUUUCAGCAGGGACGAAGCGCAAGUGACGGUACCUGCAGAAGAAGCACCGGCUAACUACGUGCCAGCAGCCGCGGUAAUACGUAGGGUGUAAGUGUUGUCCGGAAUUACUGGGCGUAAAGAGUUCGUAGGCGGUUUGUCGCGUCGUUUGUGAAAACCAGCAGCUCAACUGCUGGCUUGCAGGCGAUACGGGCAGACUUGAGUACUGCAGGAGAGACUGGAAUUCCUGGUGUCGCGGUGAAAUGCGCAGAUAUCAGGAGGAACACCGGUGGCGAAGGCGGGUCUCUAGGCAGUAACUGACGCUGAGGAACGAAAGCGUGGGUAGCGAACAGG
rnacentral:rRNA from 1 species